UUAACAGGAAAUCUACUGUUAUUUCAUGUAACAAACUGUUCGUGGAAUGCAUAAAAUUCCUUAACAGCCAGACGUUUUAGAUUCAUUUACUUUCAACUUCCUACUUGAGGGCUACUAUGGACGGGGUGCAGUGCAAGGUGAGAGAGACGAACAUGCUUUCGGAAUCGUUCGAAUCUCACCGGGGUCUGAGGCAAAGGGACGGAUCCUCCUGUUUGCUGUUCAACAUCGCUCUGGAAGGUGUCAUGCGAAGCGCAGGCUUCGACAUCCGGGGCACGAUUUUCACCCGAUCUCUCCAAUUCCUUGGCUUCGCGGAUGACAUCGACAUCAUCGGACGUACAACUGAGGACGCCAAUGCACUCGCCAUUUUUGAACGGCGGGUGCUAAGGACUAUCUUUGGCGGUGUGUGUGAGCAGGGCGUGUGGAGAAGGAGGAUGAACCACGAGCUAGCUGAGCUGUUUGGCGGUGCAGAUAUCCUGACGGUCAUCAAAGCCGGAAGGAUACGAUGGCUGGGACACGUGAUGAGGAUGCCGGACUCAUGCCCCACCAGGAGGGUGCUCGUCAGCGACCCGUUCGGCACGAGGCGUAGAGGAGCACAGCGAGCUCGUUGACUGGAUGAGGUGGAGUCGAACCUGUCGGAGACCGGAUGCAGCCGUGGUUGGAGGACUGCAGCCCAGGACCGAGUUUCCUGGAAACGGAUUGGCGACCUGGCCAUGUCUACUAGACGUGCUCAUACAUGAGCAGGCCAAGAAGAAGAAGAAGAAGACUUUCAGCUUCCAUGUUUUGCAGUAUCUUGCAUAUUCAUUUAGCCCUUUGUUUAGGCUUUUUAUAAUUGUUCUUGGACAUUUGGCAGAGGAAUUAAUCGCAAAUUCAUCAGCAAAAGAGUAUUGUUUGACAUUUUCCAUUUUUGGAACAUCGCAUUUGUAAAUAUUAAACAGAAUCGGUGAAAGUACGCUUCCUUGGAGCAGGUCAGGCUAGGAUUACAUUCCUGAACUAUGUGUGUAACAGCAGCUUAUCUUUAUCUUCAGCUAAAAUAAAUAUUUUAUUUUUGUUUGAUCGAA